AAUAAACGAAUUUCGGCGUUUUUAUAGAACUUUUGACUCUUCGUCUUAUUUAAAUUUUUUCUGAGAUUAAUAUGUUUAUUGUUAUUACAUGAUAAAAUAUAAAUAGUAUUUUAUGUGUGACUAAUUUUUUUCAAAUAAGACGAAUGGUCAACAGUUGCUUUGUCAUCUCUAGG
rnacentral:pre_miRNA from 1 species